CUUGAACGCUGGCGGCAGGCCUAACACAUGCAAGUCGAACGAGUGGCGGACGGGUGAGUAAUGUCUGGGAAAGUGCCUGAUGGAGGGGGAUAACUACUGGAAACGGUAGCUAAUACCGCAUACUAUCGGAUGUGCCGAGAUGGGAUUAGCUUGUUGGUGGGGUAAAGGCUCACCAAGGCGACGAUCCCUAGCUGGUCUGAGAGGAUGACCAGCCACACUGGAACGGAGACACGGUCCAGACUCCUACGGGAGGCAGCAGUGGGGAAUAUUGGACAAUGGGCGAAAGCCUGAUGCAGCCAUGCCGCGUGUAUGAAGAAGGCCUUCGGGUUGUAAAGUACGUUCAGCGGGGAGGCGUUACCCGCAGAAUAAGCACCGGCUAACUCCGUGCCAGCAGCCGCGGUAAUAC
rnacentral:rRNA from 1 species